rnacentral:rRNA from 1 species
GUCCACGCCGUAAACGAUGAGUACUGGGUGUCGCGGGUAGUUGACCCCUGCGGUGCCGUAGCUAACGCGUUAAGUACUCCGCCUGGGGAUUACGGUCGCAAGAUUAAAAACUCAAAGGAAUUGACGGGGGCCCGCACAAGCGGUGGAGCAUGUGGUUUUAAUUCGACGCAACGCGAAGAACCUUACCUGGGCUAGACAACGGUGGACCGCCUAGAGAUAGGGCUUUCCUUCGGGGACUGCCGGUUCAGGUGUUGCAUGGCUGUCGU